CAGUAGCCGCGGGAACACGUAGGUGGCAAGCGUUGUCCGGAAUUAUUGGGCGUAAAGGGCUCGCAGGCGGUUUCUUAAGUCUGAUGUGAAAGCCCCCGGCUCAACCGGGGAGGGUCAUUGGAAACUGGGAAACUUGAGUGCAGAAGAGGAGAAUGGAAUUCCACGUGUAGCGGUGAAAUGCGUAGAGAUGUGGAGGAACACCAGUGGCGAAGGCGACUCUCUGGUCUGUAACUGACGCUGAGGAGCGAAAGCGUGGGGAGCAAACAGGAUUAGAUACCCCUGUAGUCCCUGUCUCUUAUAC
rnacentral:rRNA from 1 species